CUACACACAUAUAUUCAAUUAAACAACCUUGAUUAGCAUUCAUUAUAACCAAAUUUAACAAAACAUUAUCAGAACUAAUCCUGCAAAAACACUUUACUCUUUCAGCUAAACUAUGGCUAUCUGUUGCUUGCCCCCUAGCUGCUCGGACAUGAACAUAUGGAAGCUUCUCUGAGGUAUCAUUUGCUGAUUUUUUGCUCUUUUUGCUACUGCUUUCUUUCCCCUGAAUUCCACAUAAUUCAUUCAUCAAAACACAGACUUCGUAUAUAUCAAAUCAUAAUUCAUUUAGAAUUUAAACUUGAACACUACCAUUCUUUGUGAUAAACCAAUAAUGUAUCAUAAUGAAGUAGUUAUAUAGAGGUGAAAUUACAUGCUAACUUAGGCGUUUGGACAUAAGAAUUGUGAAAUUCUGGAAACAAGUGGGAAAAAAAAAUCAAGUGAAACUAGUAUUUGAAAAUUAGAGUUGUGUCUGGACAUCAAUAUUAUUUAGAGCUGUUUUUGAGUUUUUGAGUGAUUUGAAGUGAAUUUUGAAAAAUAAUUUUUUGGAGUUUUUCAAAUUUCCAAAAAAAUUUGGAAUAGUUUUUCAAUUUGAAUUUCUUUUGCCCAAACAAAAAAAGUGAAAAAAAUUGUAUGGCCAAACGGGCCCUAAAUUAAUUAUAAUGAAGUGAUACAAGUUCCUAUAUUAAAAAAAUAAAAAAAAUAAAAAAAAUAAAAAAACACGUCACAUAUAAUUUACCUUUUUCUGGCGUUCUUUUCGCUUUGUGGUUUUCUGAUCAAAAGUUGGAUUUGAAAAUUCGGGAGAAGAAUUAGGAUUGGAAUCAGAAUCAUCUGGUUCUUGCUUUACGAAUUGUGGAUUGGACGGAAAUGAGCCAUUCUCCGGCGAAUUCCCGGCGGCGAAGACUGAGAACUCUCGGGCGAAUUCUCCGGCGGACGCUCUGUCAAUCAGAGGAGAAGAGUAGUAGGUCUUGUUGUGAGUAUCUGGUAGGGAAAGUUUAGCUGAACCCAUUUCGUCAGAAUGUACUAAAAGGUCCAAAGCUUGAUUUGGUGGCAGUUCAAGUAAAGCAGUAAAAGAAUUUCCAGCAGCUUCCAUUGGUACUGGCAUUAUUAUGCUCUGGCUAAUUUGAUGAAACCCAGUUGCCGUUUCUCCUGCUUUGCCUCCGCAACUUGCGGAUCUAACUUGGGUUGACUCCAUUUUACAGCUUUUUGCGGCAAAUUUUCAAAAUAAGUAUGCACCAAUGGAUCAAAAUACAGUGCGAGUCCUUUCCAAUGACCAACUAUAUAUUAUAGUCUACUUAAAUCCGAGAAGUUGAGUAGUUUCAAGUCAAAGAGCUGUAGAAAGGGGUAAAACUUGGAUUAUACUUCAAGAUUUUCAAAUGGGGGUGGCAUGGAAAAGGAGUGAAAAUGAAGGGUCUAUAUAUAUAUAUGCUUCUUCUUCGUUUUUUUUUUUUUUUUUUGGGGGGGGUGGGGGGGGGGGGGGUUUCAGAAUUUUGUAGUAAGAUGGAGCUUAAGAAGCUUCAAUGGUGGUAAAUAUCUUUUCGUCUGCUAGAACUUGAUAAAAAGGCAUGCUGAUGCCGAUGCCGAUGCAGAGCAAGUAAAUUGUUUUUUGUUAUAUAUGGGAAAGCAACGUUUGCUUUGGUUCUCUCUCUCCCCCCUCUCUUUUAAAGGCUACAUAAGCUGGAGGUUAGUACUUAGUAGAGGUUUAUUUCUAAGGAUUUGAACCUCAAUUUUUAAUUCUUAAAUAUUUAGAUUUCUUUUAUGAUAAGUGCUAAUUAAGUUAAUUCUUUUUAUGAAGUAUUCGAAAUCAGCCUCAAAGUUAUUAAAAAAACGAUUUGAUCCAAAGCAUAAUUAUUAAAAAAUCACCAAAAAUAAGAAAGAAAAACCCAAUUGUUUUCCCACUGCUUCUUCUUCUUCCACAACUAGCAAUUGGGAGUUAUAUAAAAAGGUUUAGGCUGAAUACAUCUCCAGCCCCUUAAACUUGUCCCUUUUUUUCAUUUAGGCACUUGAACUAAACUAUGUUCCUAUUAAACACCCGAACUCAAUAAAAAUAUAUCAAUUAGACACAAAUUGUUGACAUGUUAAAGUGAGCGUAAUUCACCUCCUUUGAGAGCGUGAAGUUAUGUUUCUCUUUCUCCUUCCUCCAUCUCCGAUCCGCUGCAUCCCUAUACUUCCAUAACACUAGCUCCAACACCAUCUUGCCCACCUCCACUAUUAUAGUCAUUAUUCCCAUUUUUUUGAACCACCAGAAAGGCCAUUGUCCACCAACAAUGGAAACUACCGUCCAACUCCACCAUCACCAUUUUUAUUGAAAAUUUAUUAUGCAAAUGUGUAGGUUGAAUUGGGGAAGCCACAUGGAUUCAAUUUCAACAAUAUUUCACAUUCAAACCAAAUUGGAAUCUAAUAAGAACCAAGUUAGAUACACCAAAAAUUCAUUUUUUGUAGGAAGAUCAAUAACCCAAUUGGAGAAUUGAAAAGCUAUUUGAUAGUAGGAUCUCAUUAAUAAUCGAUUCUUCUUCACAUUUUAUAUGUCAAGUGGCAAUUUGAUAAUUGGGUCUUCUGAAAUUGCCCCAACUUUUGUAAAUAGAGAAGACGAGUUUGAAUGGGAUGUGAUCAGUGCUAGAGGGAGCAUUUGUUGUUGUGGAGGAGGUGUCGAGUGGAGGACAAAACAGGGGUGGUGGAUGCCGGAGGCAGAGUUCUAAUUAGCGAUAGUGUGGCUGGAGGUCGUCGGUUGUGAUCCUUUUAUGCCGCUCCGUCAAGUGCCUUUACCGGUGGCAUCGUCGCCUCAAAACUUAUCACCAUAGAAGUUUCUGUAGUUUUUUAUGUGGGUUGUACUCCCUGAAUAAGAAGAAGAAGAUCCACGUUUUUUCUUCUUUCAAUUUUUUUUUGCUGAUGUGCCUUUUCUUUAUUGGUUUUAUUCCAUGUCAUCCGCGUGUAUACUUUACCCGUUUAGAUUUUAGGGUAGGUUGUUUGUAAGUUUAAUAGAUACAAUUUUUAACAAGAUAAAGUGUUCAAUAGGAAUCGGGUUUAGCUCAAGUGCCUAAAUGAAAAAAAGGGACAAGUUUAAGGGGCUGGAGAUGUAUUCAGCCAAAGGUUUAUAUUAUUACAUUAUCGCUGUUAAUUUAUUUUUUUUAAAGAAUUCGGACCUUAGACUACCUUGGCAGUGCACGAUCUCAAAAUUCUUGGAGUUGGCAAAGAAAUUUUUGUGGAUGUCACGAUCCAAAAUUCCACCUCAGGUCACGAUGGCGCCUAACGUACUUGAUAAGCAAAUCAACUCACAAUCAAUAGAAUAAAGUUUAAUUUUCUUUAAUUAUCAGAGUCAUAUCAUAAAUAAAGACGGAAAAGAUCUCGAUACUAUAUAAUAUAUGAUACAAUUAGAAUAUGGUGAGAGUACGACUAAAAUAGUACAACCACCAAGAAUUAGGUGACACAAGCACCCGAUCAACUACUGAAUAAGUACAAGUUUGAAUACAUAGUCAAAUUUUUCUGAGAAAAAGAAAAUAGACAGGAGAUAAUAAAAGACAUGGACUCAAGCAUUGUAACACGAAUCUAUGAGGUGCAACUCGCCCUAAGUCUCUGAGCAAUCGUCUAGGCCCAACAAAAGGCUCCGCUAGAAUCCACUCGAGGAUAUGCACAAUAAGAUGUGUAAAAGUAUAGUAUAAGUAUACAACAGUCGCUACUCAAUAAGUAUCAAGUCUAACCUUGAAGAAGUUGUGGCGAGGCUAUACGUAUUAUGACAUUUACAACACAUAUAUAGAUCAUAAAGACUGAAACUGAAACAAUAAGCAAUCUCAUGAAUAACAAAUACCAAAUAUAGCAACAACGACAACAACAACAACAACAACAAUAACAACAACAACAAGCCCAAUAAUUUCCCACAAGUGGAGCAUACGCUACUCAGAUAUGGUAUUUAAAGUUGGCAUACUUCAAUCAACGGAGUCGAGGCUCCCAACCAGCAUAUAUAGGUGACAUGCAACAAAUAGCAUUAAUGCUUCUAAAUGAGUCAAGGAUAUCUAUGCAUGCUUAAGACCCAACCUCUUACCUGAACCUGCUCAAGAUCCAUGUACCCUGAUACAAAAUUUAUGUACCACUAAAUCCCGUUACAAAAUUCAUGUAUCGACCUGAUACACAAUCCAUGUAUCGACCAUGCUCAUAAGGCCCAAAUUAAUAUGGGUAAUCACCUGACUCUGGAGGCAUGGUACACAAAGAGGAGUUUAAUAGCAUCACUCAUAAUCAAAUAUCCUCUCAUCAUGUCCUGUGCGAUAAACCGAUAACUGUAUUUCAAUCUCACGACUUGCCUUCCGUGCCACAAUUUCAGUCCGAAUCAAGUAUCCACUUAUAACACAUAUACAUGUGCCCAGGAAUUAAUAGAAGAAAGAUGCACAAUGACUUAACAAUAAUCAUGCGGAUAUGUGCUCAUAAAACUUUUAUAUGAAGAUGAUUCAAGCAAUUCAACAUAUAAAGAACAAGUUCCCAUGCCUUUAUAAAUAAUCAUAACCAAGGCAUGAUCUCCAACAUGAAUAAGAGAGUGGUUGUAGUCAUAUAAUCCAAAAAAAUCAUGAAUCAAGAAGAGAAUAUAAUUAAAACAAGGUAUAAAAUAUCUAAGCUCUACCCCAAGCAUGAUAUAAACUCGAUACGUGCAUAUACGCUCGCCACCAUGUAUAUAUACCAUCCCAAUAACUUAAACACAUAGCAAUCAAGUCAAAUUCUAGGAGUUUCCUUCUUAACAAGGUUAACUAAGAGACUUACUUCUUUCCGGGCUAGUUCCAACUACAAAUCGCUUCAAAACCUCUCUCUAGCCCUCCAAUCACGCAAAAUCCAAGCCAAACAUCAUCCAAGGAAGUCAAACAAUUCCAUACGAAGCGACUCCAAUCCAUAAAUCUUCAAUCUUUGAUGAAUUCCCAUAAAGUCAACAAAAGUCAACCUGAACUCGCGUGCCCGAAAUUCAAAAUCAAUAUCAAAAUUCAAUGACCCAUAAUCUGUCGAGUCCAAGUAUAUAAUUAAUCUUCAAAUCCUGGACCAAAUCGAUGGUCAAAACUCCAAAAUAUACUCUCUUAAAGUGUAGACAAAACUCCACUUUUUAAAAAAAAUUCCCAUAUUUUCGGUGUAGAAAACCAUGUAAAAUCUUGUAAUAUAAUCACAAAUAUGUAGAAAUCACUUGCCAUUUUGCCUUAUAUGAAAUUUUCCAUAAAAAAUCGCUCAUCUCCAAGUCUAUGGCUCAAAAUAUGAAAGAAUGGAUAAAAAUCCCAAAAUAUAACACUUAUGUAUUACGAGCAGCGAUACCCUUCGCGAACGCGGCACAAGCCUCGUGUUCGCGAAGCAUAAAUCUGCAACCACUCCAAAUCCUUCUUCGCGACCGCAGAAGAACCCUUGCGAUCAGGAAGCUCAACCAGAUCCCACUCUACGUGAAUGCUACUGAAGUUACGCGAACGUGAUGACCCAACUUCCCACCUGACUUCAUUCCUACGCAAACGCGAAAGAAAUCCUAUGAUUGCAAAGAACGCAUCUCUAGCUCCCAAAAUACACGUCACGAACGCGUCCGACUGAACGCGAAUGCAAAAAAUAAUGCCCAUAUGACUAGAUCUUUUUCCGCAAUCACGGAGCAAGAUGCACUGCAAAACACCAGCAUAUCAGUUAAGCAAAACUCAAUCAAAAUGGUCCGAAACCACCCUAAAUCAAGCCCGAGCCCCUCAGGACCCUGUCCAAUCAUAUCAACAAGUCCAAAUACGAUAUACAAACUUAUCCAAAGGCUCGAAACACUACAAAUAUCAUCAAAACCACGAAUCGAAGAUCAAAAUUAUUCUCUUAACUUCCAAACAUACUAACUUUGCCAGACUCGUUUGAAUCACACUUAGACAUUCCGGAUUACAACCAAACUUUAAACACAAGUUCUAAUAAACAAAAUGAACCUAUACAAACUCUCAAACCCACAAUUUGAGUCUGAUAACACUAAAAGUCAACUUCCGAUCAAACCAAUGAAUUUUUUAAUUCUUCAAAUUUCCAGCUUUCAAUAAAUAGAGCCAUAACCCUUCUACGAACAUCCGAAUUCAAAUAUAAACAUACGCCCAAGUCAAAAAUAACCAUAUGAACCUAUUAAAACCAUCAAAUCCCGACUCUGAGAUUAUUUACUCAAAAGUCAAGCCUUGUUCAACUUUUCCAACUUAAAGCUUUCCAAUUGAUUAUCAUUCUACCAAAUCAAUCCUGAACCCUGCGAACAUAGAAAGCAACCAUAUAUGCAAGUCAUAAUACAUCAUAUAAAGUUACUCAAAUCUCAAGCUACUGAAUGAAAUACUAAAGCUCAAAGUAACCGGUAGGGUUGUUACGUUCUCCCCCACUUAAACAUGCAUUCGUCCUUGAAAGCGACAAUAAUUGUUCCAAAGUUGUCAAAUAACUACACAAUCUCAUCAUACACAUGCCCAUAAGCAAUCUCACACUACCGCAAUCCAUAUAAGUCCACUAAUACAAUCCAAAUGAAGAUUCUUCCUUCCAUUUUAGCUUAUAAUCCUUAGACUAAAUUCCAACAGUCAGAACUUCCUCUUGGCUCUGAUUCUUGCAUAUAUACAUUGUAUCAAUCUCAACAAGCUGCACCAAACCAUGGGUAUAUUCCCAAUAUAUAACCACACUAUGUGCCCUGUCGCUCAUGUACUCAUAGUGAUACCUUCUGAUUAUAAUAGUUUCUCAUUACCAAACUCGGUACCGGCAAUCCUUGUUCCAACUAUGUGCAACAUUUUUAAUGAUAAAUAAACCUAUAAAAACUCAUAACCAUCCAUUAAAUCAAUGAGUCAUGGAUUUUUCUUGCUCGACAAGAACCAUUGCCAAAUUCUGAGCCGAUUAGUGACAUUAUUCUUCAAAAACAUACAUUAUACAAAUCCGAUUGUACUGAUUCUAGGUCUGAUAGCCUCGUAUCAUCCCACACAAGAUGCUCGACCGACAAGACCCAUAAAAUACCAUCAAGAAUCCCAUACAACGUGAUUCGUGCACCACACAAGCAACUGCUCGAGUAUGAUCAAUAAUGAAGAGAGAACCAUAAAGGAACUUAUCCAACAAAUUUUACAGAUAAAACAAUAAUAGCAUAAUUCUACGAAUUCGUCCCAUAAGGGAGAAACAAGACACACAAAACGAGCACAAGAAAUCGUAUCUAACAUAAAUCUAUUGUGACGUACAAUCUGAUCCAUACAUAAUACCGUUGUAGUAUGCAAACCGAUCCAAAUAACAAUUCGUGUGGGGAUAACCAUCGGGCUAUAAUGCUCAUACUCAGUAAACACGUGUAUCAUCAACAAAUAUGUACCAUGAAAAAACAUAACCAUGGGGAGGCAGAUAGCAUAACUGUCACGACCCAAACUGGAGGGUCAUGACUAGCACCAGGGCCAUAUUUGCCAAUCACCAACAUACAUUUUAUCUAACCUUCCUUACUAUUUUUAAGGGCCGACGAGAGUAAUAUAAAUGGUAGACAUAAAUCAUGAACAACCAACAAUGAAAAAUAAUGGCAUAAACAUACAUAAUAAGGGACGACAAAUUUGUCAUGAAACUAUAUAUAAGGUACGAGCUGUCAAGCUACCACGAGAGACUAUAUAACAAAAAUCAGCCGACAAGGCAUUCAAAACUAUACAUGAGUCGACACCUGUCUAUGAGCCUUUAAAGGAACAUAAGUGCUUCAACAUUGCCGGAACAGGGCCCCGACAUACCCAUAAUGUCUAUAACAAAAGUGCAUGCCAAGACCACGACAAGUCCGGAAAAGGGAUCUCGCCAAUAACCGCUAAAAUUGGACAGCAUACUUUGGUGGGGGAGCUUUGCCUACCUGUCUAUCAGGACCUGCACCACGACAUACAGCGUCCACAAAUAAAAGGGAUGUUAGUACGAAUAAAGUAUCGAGUAUAUAAGGCAAGAAAGCAUAAAUAAGAUUAGUAAUGUAAAUAGGGAUAAAGAAUAUAGAACUNNNNNNNNNNNNNNNNNNNNNNNNNNNNNNNNNNNNNNNNNNNNNNNNNNNNNNNNNNNNNNNNNNNNNNNNNNNNNNNNNNNNNNNNNNNNNNNNNNNNNNNNNNNNNNNNNNNNNNNNNNNNNNNNNNNNNNNNNNNNNNNNNNNNNNNNNNNNNNNNNNNNNNNNNNNNNNNNNNNNNNNNNNNNNNNNNNNNNNNNNNNNNNNNNNNNNNNNNNNNNNNNNNNNNNNNNNNNNNNNNNNNNNNNNNNNNNNNNNNNNNNNNNNNNNNNNNNNNNNNNNNNNNNNNNNNNNNNNNNNNNNNNNNNNNNNNNNNNNNNNNNNNNNCAUAACGCCUCUGUGGGCAUCAUCAUCAUAUCAUACUGGGCUGUAAUAGGCUUGGUAAAAAUGUACCCAGCCAUCAUAAGGCUCGGUAGAAUUGUACCCGGCCACAUGGAGCUCGGUAAAAUCCAACUGAUAAGUGGUUGCACAAUAGGUGUCGUACCCAACCAACUAUAGCGCAGCUCGGUAGAGUAAAAUAGGUACAUAUAUAUAAUGCAUGCUGGACUCAUUGGAAUCACAUUCUAAACUUCGCAGUGAUGUAAGAUCGGUAUCCUCCGUGCACACUGUUAGGACUAACUCUUUAUCAUGAAUCUUAUAAGAAUCAGGAAGUACCAACUGUAAGCACGUGAUUUUUGCUUCACGGGAAUUACUCCAAAAGAAAAAGAAAAUCAAAGUAUAUGCAUAAGUGUUUUUUUUUUGUCAUUAAGUGAUUUUUAUUUAAUGUUAAAACUGUGUGUUAAUUAUUGUAAGGUGUUAACCAAUACUUGUGUAAUUGUAUUUUAAAUUUUUACAAUUUAUUUAGGAAUGUGAUUCAAUUUUUUUAAUUGAGGAAAGGAAUGAUUGUGGGAAAAUCGCAUUGGGCCCCAAAACGAGGCCCAAAACCAAAGCAAGGACCCAGUCCAAACCAGGCCUGACCAGGCACGUCCCCCCGAACGACGCCGUAUAAGGCAUCCAAUAUGAGCCGUUCAUUCACACUCAUCCAACGGUCCACACUCACACCCAUAACCCGGCCUAUUUUGCUUGGGUCAACCCAACCCCUCACUUAAACCAAACGACCCCGUUUCUAUACCAAACGACCCCGUCCCGUCCCUCACCAGUGGAUCCAAGACGUUGAGAUCAUUUGAUCUAACGGCCCAAAUCUAAACCCCUAGAUCAUAUAUAAGCCUCCUAUCACACCCCACGCCCCCAAACCACACCCCACCCUUCCCCACUAUACACCAUCGUCCCAAACACCAACCCCUUCCCGUUCCAAACCCUAGCCGCCCCCAUACACUCUCACCCUGAACCCGGCGGCUCCGACGCCGGUGACCACCAAAACAACACCCCCGAUACAUCCAACUACCCUGAACACGAAUCUACCAACCAUGCACCUCGAAUCAUACUCCAUCAUCUCGAAUCUUAGUUUAAAGGUUCGAGCCAAACCUAGAUCUACACCAAACCCCCCCCCCCCAGAUUCACACUAGAAAAUCCCCUGACUACCCUAGUGACCAAACCAAGCCUCGUUUGGUCCGAAUCUACCCACAAAUCCUAAAAAACCAAAUCUGAAAAUUCGAACCCUAGGACACAAAGAACCUUGGAAUCCGACCGGCUUCAUAGGGGGUUUGGGGUCUAAUAGACUUUUAUCAAGGUGUUCUCGGUUGAGAACACCCCGAUUAAAGCUUGUUCGGCCUCAAAUGGUCAAAUCUAAGUCGGACCUGGGUCGGCUUUUGUUAAACAUUUUCAGUAAGUUUUCCCUUUUCUUUUUAGUUUUGUUCGAAUAUUGAUUGAGUUUGUUAGCAUGUUUUGUUGUGAUUGUUUGGUAUUUCUGGUAUUUUCAUUCCAAUUUCUUCCAUCUUUGUGAGGCCUUUUAUUUGGUCGAUUGUUUUCUGUGUAUGUUUGAAUACGUUCUGUGAUAUACAUGCUCGAUUAGAUUAGUCGUCGCAUAGAUAACUCAUAUAGCCUCCCAAUGUCGUGCAAGUUUGUCUGAAGCCCUUUGGGACCCUGUUCGUGUUGUUUAUUUAAUCGACUGAUUAUCCCUUGUUAUAAUUAGUAUAGUCGACUUGAUAAAUGUCGUCGAUUAGUUUCCUAUGACUGAAUGUUCAAAUAUUCUAAUUCAUACAACUUCACAUGAGUGAAUGAACCUGUUGUUGUUAAUUGAUUGCUGGACAUUGUUUGAAAGUAGUUUGUAACUGCAUUAUAAACAACUAAAAGAUUCAGGCUAGGGCAGCUAGAAAUUGAACUUUCAGAAGUUCAAAUUUCCUGCUAUAGAAGUAGGGCAAGACAGUGAUAACCAGGGGUUAACAGGGGUAAUUUGGGUGUUAAAAAGAACAGAAAUAAUUAGUUUAAGUAAGCUGACAAAUAGGGUACUGAAUUAGGAUUAAACUAAUGACAAUGGGGAACAAAACAUAAAGGCAUGGGUUCAAAAUGAAUACUUUAAUACACCAAUGACUCUUGAUUAGAGUAAUAAAACAGGCAUGGGGAAAUGAAGGGGAUGGGCAGACCUGGGGGCUGUGAAGUUCUAGGCAGCCCUUAGGGGUUCUCAUUCAGUUAUAAAUAGAGCUGUUUUUAGUUAAGAAAGGGGCUGGACAUUUUUUAGUCUUCAGAGAGGUUUUUAAGCUAAAAAAAACUGAGAAAGAAACAUAAAGAAAAUUUCAGAAUAUUGUAACCAAACACUGUCUAAAAACUGCGUAAGAGUGCAAGUUGGUCAAGCUGUCUUUGCUAAUUGUUGUUGGGUUAGUUGCCGAGCUGUUUGCGACUGUUGAACUGCUGGUGCUGUUACAUUGAAUAUUCUGGGCCUUCUGCUGUUUUACACUCUGUGUCUGGGAUUGUUUGCUUGGUGCACCACCUGUCGGGUUUCCUUGUUGUUGAAACUGCUGCUGUUUGUUUGUGGACUAUUGGUGACAUUUGUUGCUGAUUGUUGUUGCUGUUGAUUGUGGACUGUUGUUUACCUGUUGUUGCUGUGUUGUUGCAUACUACUCAGUUGAUCAUUCUCCUUCUUUUGUUUUCCCAUACCAGGUACACGACUAAUACUGUCCAUGUAACUUGAAAGUUGAGCAUGAAUACAAAAGAGAAGAGUUGAAGAUUGUUUAUUUUUAGACAUAGCCUGUAUACUGAAUAUCACGGGGUGUAUAGUAGUUUUACAUUUCUGUUUGGAUACUGGAGUUAGCUCUCAUACAUAGCAAAUGUCAAUUGUAGGGUAACUUGAUAUUUUAUUAUGCGUGUAGGUUGAUAGAUAAAAGGUUUGACAGUAUGAUAGGCUAUAGCUCAGAAAUUAGCUAUGUCUGUGAUUAGCAUGUCCAUUAAUGCAUGAAAAUUAUCCAUCAUUAGUUAAUC
rnacentral:lncRNA from 1 species